GGGUGAGUAACACGUGGGUGAUCUGCCCUGCACUUCGGGAUAAGCCUGGGAAACUGGGUCUAAUACCGGAUAGGACCAAGGACCGCAUGGUUUUUGGUGGAAAGUUUUUCGGUGCAGGAUGAGCCCGCGGCCUAUCAGCUUGUUGGUGGGGUAAUGGCCUACCAAGGCGACGACGGGUAGCCGGCCUGAGAGGGCGACCGGCCACACUGGGACUGAGACACGGCCCAGACUCCUACGGGAGGCAGCAGUGGGGAAUAUUGCACAAUGGGCGAAAGCCUGAUGCAGCGACGCCGCGUGAGGGAUGACGGCCUUCGGGUUGUAAACCUCUUUCACCCAUGACGAAGCGCAAGUGACGGUAGUGGGAGAAGAAGCACCGGCCAACUACGUGCCAGCAGCCGCGGUAAUACGUAGGGUGCGAGCGUUGUCCGGAAUUACUGGGCGUAAAGAGCUCGUAGGCGGUUUGUCGCGUCGUCUGUGAAAUCCCGCAGCUCAACUGCGGGCUUGCAGGCGAUACGGGCAAACUUGAGUACUGCAGGGGAGACUGGAAUUCCUGGUGUAGCGGUGAAAUGCGCAGAUAUCAGGAGGAACACCGGUGGCGAAGGCGGGUCUCUGGGCAGUAACUGACGCUGAGGAGCGAAAGCGUGGGUAGCGAACAGGAUUAGAUACCCUGGUAGUCCACGCCGUAAACGGUGGGCGCUAGGUGUGGGUUUCCUUCCACGGGAUCCGUGCCGUAGCUAACGCAUUAAGCGCCCCGCCUGGGGAGUACGGCCGCAAGGCUAAAACU
rnacentral:rRNA from 1 species